UUUAUAAACAGUAUAAUUUAAUUGUUUUCUCCAUACAAUACUCGUAUGCUUCAUAAAUUGUUGUUAAUAUUCUUUUUAGAUUAUUGCUUUACAGUAAAAUGCAUUGGCUGGAUACAUCCAUUGCUUGCAAGACAAUACAUUCAAGUUACACACCAACAUCUUAAGUUGAAAAUCAUUAAAUCUGUACUUCACAGAAGGUUUAUGCCGAUCCUCUCACAGUGCAGCAGGUCACUCGUGGAGCAGUUGGGCAUGUAUCUGUGCAUGUGCGUUUAAUAAAUCAAGAUCCCGCAUUAGAAGUUCUCAUAGCCUACUUUUGUGCAUAUUCACGCGUGACAGUCAUUUGAAGCGUUUUCCUUUAAGUUCUCGCCCUCUUAAGAGGCAUACAAUGGAGAGUGCAUAUAAGUCUAUUUAUGUGAGAGUGCUAUACAACUGGCAACAAAGACAUCCCGUCUUAAGUGACCCUAUGAAACAUUAAUCAAACUGCUCCGGAGGUCCGAAGUUUAUAAAAUACAAUUAAAUGGCAAAAAAAUACUCAUCUUAUUUCAAAUAUAACGAUAGCAUUUACAUCAAGCAUGGCACAAAUUAUCAGCAACAAAGUCAACAGUUAAGGAUAGUGUGCUUACAAAUACAUUCUGGCAAAUAAAGUAGGCUAUAUGAAUGCCCUGGCAAAGAGAUUUGCCAAAACAACCAGGGAGAAACUAACAAAGAAUAGAAAUUGGCAGCAAAGAAUUAAUUUAAUGCUGAAAAUAAAUAACUAGGCUAUAUAACGUGGGAACCAGCAUAGGAAGAAGCUUUCGAAGCACUUCCAACAGUGUGCGUAUGGUGUAUCAAUGUCAUCUGAAUAAUGUAAUCGUACAGCUCACCACCGAGAAACACCACAGAACAAAGAGCGAAGGAAAAAGUAUCACCACACGACACCACAGUCAUUCCGCACAGCACAUCGCCACAAUAAACUAAAGUCGACAUUCUACAGAAUGGCAAUUAUGUGCUGUGAGAUUAGAUGACAGAAUCUGCAUGCAUGCGUUACAGCGGUGGGCGACUUCAGCAGCUUUCACAAACAUGGCUCAUCUAUGAAAAUAUAAUCCCCGUACUCAGCCCUCACCGACUGAGAUUGCAUAUAUCAUAAAUAAUGUGUACAUCAAAUACUGCAACACCGGUCUUUUUGCACAGACAACAGAGACACCACCUCCUAGCACUUAAUGACAGGUUCUACGACUGACAAAAGACACAAAGACACGUUCCUCUACGCUCCUGAGCCCACUAUAGCAGCUGAGUGAACGGGGGUCCUGUAGCUGCCAUUUAUGGGUGAAUCCCAGGAAACAAGUUCGGGUCAUAUUUUACCACAAAACAAAGAAAUAAGAUGUUAUGUUAUGCUUAAAGAAAUUACAGUCUAUGAGGACCAUUACAUUUUUUUUUUGUAUUGUGACAUCACGGCAAACGCAUUUUCAACCUCCAACAAACAACAUUACCGUAAUUUUCAUUACUGCAAU